CUGGGUUUUAACCUUACACAGAAAUGAUUUAAGCAGGCAGAAAGCACUGCUUUUAGACCCCAGUAAGUGUGACCAGGUUGCCCUAGAGAAAUCAUCAACUAUUGUAAGAAAAUAUCUAGAACCAGAAGAAGUAGGACCCUAGUAAGUGUGUCCAGGUAGCCCUAGAGAAAUCCUCAACUAUUGUAAGAAAAUAUUUAGAACCAGAAGAAGUAGGAGUGUGAUAGGGGCCCCAAGUAUCCACAUGAAUCAAUUGGAAAGGUCUAGAAGUACUUAUUGUGCUAUCAGGAAAGGGAAGUCUAGUCUGUUUAGCCAUAGGACAAAUAGAACAAGGGAAAGGCUGCUUAGAAGCAAAUGGAAAAGACAAUCCAGAAAUGUGUUUCAUGUUUGCAAAUGAAGUAUGAGCAAUGUCAGUUGUAACAACAUUAUUACAGAUGGAACUAUUUACAUUGUAAGGUAAAGCAACAACUUUAUGGCAACCAGUAGAGGAAGAAUUGUCAUGAUUACAAGAGUCAGACAUAGAGCAUACAAAAGUAGAUGAACAACCAGUAGAGG
rnacentral:lncRNA from 1 species